rnacentral:rRNA from 1 species
GAUGAACGCUAGCUACAGGCUUAACACAUGCAAGUCGAGGGGAAACGAUAUUGGAAGCUUGCUUCCGAUAGGCGUCGACCGGCGCACGGGUGAGUAACGCGUAUCCAACCUGCCCACCACUUGGGGAUAACCUUGCGAAAGUAAGACUAAUACCCAAUGAUAUCUCUAGAAGACAUCUGAAAGAGAUUAAAGAUUUAUCGGUGAUGGAUGGGGAUGCGUCUGAUUAGCUUGUUGGCAGGGUAACGGCCCACCAAGGCGACGAUCAGUAGGGGUUCUGAGAGGAAGGUCCCCCACAUUGGAACUGAGACACGGUCCAAACUCCUACGGGAGGCAGCAGUGAGGAAUACUGGUCAAUGGACGAGAGUCUGAGCCAGCCAAGUAGCGUGCAGGAUGACGGCCCUAUGGGUUGUAAACUGCUUUUAUAAGGGAAUAAAGUGAGCCUCGUGAGGCUUUUUGCAUGUACCUUAUGAAUAAGGACCGGCUAAUUCCGUGCCAGCAGCCGCGGUAA